rnacentral:rRNA from 1 species
UACGAAGGGGGCUAGCGUUGCUCGGAAUCACUGGGCGUAAAGGGUGCGUAGGCGGGUCUUUAAGUCAGGGGUGAAAUCCUGGAGCUCAACUCCAGAACUGCCUUUGAUACUGAGGAUCUUGAGUUCGGGAGAGGUGAGUGGAACUGCGAGUGUAGAGGUGAAAUUCGUAGAUAUUCGCAAGAACACCAGUGGCGAAGGCGGCUUACUGGUCCGGAACUGACGCUGAGGUGCGAAAGCGUGGGGAGCAAACAGG